GGUUGCUGCCCCUGAAUUGGUAAUUUUGAGGAAAUUUUGCUGUUUUUUUUGUUAUCUUGAAUAUUAUUAUAGAUAGAGAUAAACUGUAAACAGCAAUAAUGAACAGCAAAGUAAGAACUAAAAAUAAGUCACUAUGACCAAAAUAGUCGAUUGACCCCCUAAGGAGUUAUGGCCCUUCAUAGUAAAUUUUUAACAAUUUUCUUAAAAUUUGAAGAUUUUCAAUAACAUUUUCCACAGAAAGUACUCUUAUAGAUAGAGAUAAUUGUAAGCAGCAAGAAUGUUUAGUAAAGUAAGAUCUACAAACACAUCACCAUCACCAAAACACAAUUUUGUCAUGAAUCCAUCUGUGUCCAUUGUUUAAUAUUCACAAAGACCAAGGUGAGCGAC
rnacentral:lncRNA from 1 species